CUCAUCUCCACAUAGCUAGGUUCUUGUCAGGAGAACACAGUGAACCUCACCGUGGUUGGUAACAGAUCCUUACUAUUAACCAGAUAUCCUCUUAAGAUCU